ACAAGAUCACUGCAGAUAAUUUUCUUCGACCUGACAACUACUCGACGUUCAAGAGAAAAAAUAUGGCGUUAAAACUCGCAACUGUAGGUGUUCUUCUGGUUGCUCUUGCGAUUGCAACGAGUGUUUCCAGCGAAGAUGAGCAAGUUGCUUCUGAACUGGACAAGUGCACACAGGAUACGGGUGACCGAGAGAAAUGUGUGUUUUAUUAGUAAGUAUCA